GACCUAAAACAUGCAAGUCGAACGAGGCCUUCGGGUCUAGUGGCGAACGGCGGAGUAAUACAUGAACAACGUGCCCCUAAGUCUGGGACAAACGCAAGAAAUGUUAUAAAUACCAGAUGUGGCCGGAGAAGGACAUCCUUUUCCGAUUAAAGGUUUUUCGCUUAGGGAGCGGUUCAUGGCCUAUCAGCUAGUUGGUGGGGUAACGGCCUACCAAGGCGACGACGGGUAGGGGGUCUAAGAGGAUGAUCCCCCCCGAGUGGGACUGAGACACGGCCCACACACCUACGGGUGGCAGCAGUUGGGAAUCUUGCACAAUGGGGGAAACCCUGAUGCAGCGACGCCGCGUGGAGGAUGACGGAUCUAGGUCUGUAAAACUCCUUUUUUCGGGGAAAGACUUAGGACGGUACCCUGAGAAUAAGGACCGGCUAACUACGUG
rnacentral:rRNA from 1 species